rnacentral:rRNA from 1 species
GAUUAACGCUAGCGGCAGGCCUAAUACAUGCAAGUCGAGGGGCAGCAGGGUGUAGCAAUACAUCGCUGGCGACCGGCGCACGGGUGCGUAACACGUAUGCAACCUACCUUUAACUGGGGAAUAGCCCUCCGAAAGGAGGAUUAACACCGCAUAACAUCACGAGACGGCAUCGCCUUGUGAUCAAACCUCCGGGGGUUAAAGAUGGGCAUGCGUCCGAUUAGCUAGUUGGCGGGGUAACGGCCCACCAAGGCGACGAUCGGUAGGGGGUCUGAGAGGAUGAUCCCCCGACACUCGGUACGUGAGGACACGGACCAGACUCCUACGGGAGGCAGCAGUAAGGAAUAUUGGACAAUGGUCGCAAGACUGAUCCAGCCAUGCCGCGUGCAGGAUGACGGCCCUACGGGUUGUAAACUGCUUUUAUACUGGAAUAAACCCACCUACGUGUAGGUGGCUGAAUGUACAGUAAGAAUAAGGAUCGGCUAACUCCGUGCCAGCAGCC